rnacentral:rRNA from 1 species
GUUGACCUCGGAUCAGGUAGGGAUACCCGCUGAACUUAAGCAUAUCAAUAAGCGGAGGAAAAGAAACCAACAGGGAUUGCCUUAGUAACGGCGAGUGAAGCGGCAAUAGCUCAAAUUUGAAAGCUGGCCCCUUCGGGGUCCGCGUUGUAAUUUGUAGAGGAUGAUUCGGCGAGGGCUCCCGUCUAAGUCCCUUGGAACAGGGCGUCAUAGAGGGUGAGAAUCCCGUAUGUGAUGGGCUGCCUUAGCCAUGUGAAUCUCCUUCGACGAGUCGAGUUGUUUGGGAAUGCAGCUCUAAAUGGGAGGUAAAUUUCUUCUAAAGCUAAAUACCGGCCAGAGACCGAUAGCGCACAAGUAGAGUGAUCGAAAGAUGAAAAGCACUUUGGAAAGAGAGUUAAAAAGUACGUGAAAUUGUUGAAAGGGAAGCGCUUGCAGCCAGACUUGUCCGCAGUUGCUCAGCCCGUCUCCUGACGGGCGUACUCUUCUGCGGCCAGGCCAGCAUCAAUUCCGGGCGGUCGGAUAAAGACCCGGGGGAACGUAGCUCCUCUCCGGGGAAUGGUUAUAGCCCCCUGGGGGGAAAUCGGGGCCAACCUGGGACCGUGAGGAAACACUGCCCCUUCCGCUAAGGAAGGCUGGCCCAA